GAGAAUAACGUAUCUGGGUCCCCCUUUUAUAGGCGAAGGAGGUAACGGAUUGAUGGCGACGUUUGUAACCGUCUGGUAGUGGGCCGCCCAUAGUCAAGGGGAAUUUAUUGCGAAGGGUAGUGGAGCGGAAUCGUGGCUAUCGCCGUAGCUCGCCACGUGGAACCAGUUGCGAGGAGUGGAGCAGCGUUCGUUGUCGUGACUUGCCAACGGAGGGGAGAAUCGCACGGUAUCCGUCGCAGGAAGUGGAGCAGGAUCGUGGCCGUUAUUGCGGCCUGCCAUGGAGUAGUGGGGCUGCGCGGAAUCCGUUGUAGGAAGUGGAGCAGAGCUGCGACUGUCACUGCGGCCUGUCAGGGAGUGAUGGAGCUGCGCGGAAUCCGCCACAGGAAGUGGAGCAGGAUCAUGGUUGUAAUUGUGACCUGCCAGGGGGCGCGGAUCUGUCGGCUGAAGCUCG
rnacentral:lncRNA from 1 species